GCGAAUGGCUCAUUAAAUCAGCUAUGGUUUAUUGGAUCAUACCCGUUAAAUGGAUAACUGUAAUAACUCUAGAGCUAAUACAUGCCUCGAAGCCCUGACCUACGCCUUCACGGGUGCAGGAAUGGGUGCACUUAUUAGAUCAGAAGCCAACCGCGUUGUCGUCGAAAGGCGGCGGCGUGUUGUCGUUCUGGUGACUCUGGAUAAUUGUUACAGAUCGCAGUCGGCCUUGAGUCGGCGACGGGUCCUUCAAAUGUCUGCCCUAUCAACUUUCGAUGGUAGGUGACCUGCCUACCAUGGUGAUAACGGGUAACGGGGAAUCAGGGUUCGAUUCCGGAGAGGGAGCCUGAGAAACGGCUACCACUUCUAAGGAAGGCAGCAGGCGCGCAAAUUACCCACUCCCAGUACGGGGAGGUGGUGACGAAAAAUACCGAUGCGGGACUUCCAAAAGAGGCUCCGUAAUCGGAAUGAGUGAACUUUAAAUCCUUUCACGAGGAUCAAUUGGAGGGCAAGUCUGGUGCCAGCAGCCGCGGUAACUCCAGCUCCAAUAGCGUAUAUUAAAGUUGCUGCAGUUAAAAAGCUCGUAGUUGGAUCUCGGUAUCACUGUUGCCUGUCAGUUCUUGUGUCGGGUUCCCGUGCCUGUGCCAGGCGUCUGCCGGCAUCCCCCGUGGUGUCUGGUGGCGUCUGCCUUGUGCGGCCGUGCCAAGUCGGCAGUGGCAGCGGUGUCACCUUUCAGCCAUGUCUGUGGUGCAAUACCCACAGGUGUAGGCGUGUGUCAGGCGGUGCAUGGCCUCUGGUUGUGUCCGUCGGCUCGCCUGCAUGCCAAUGUAUGCCUUUCAUUGGGUGUCAUUGGCGGAUGGCACGUUUACUUUGAACAAAUUUGAGUGCUCAAACCAGGCCGAUGUUGCCUGAAAAGUUUUGCAUGGAAUAAUGGAAUAGGACUUCGGUUCUAUUUCGUUGGUUUUCGGAUCCGAAGUAAUGAUCAACAGAGACAGGCGGGGACGUUUGUAUGGCUGCGCUAGAGGUGAAAUUCAUGGACCGUAGCCAGACAAACUAAAGCGAAAGCAUUCGUCAAGCAUGUUUUCAUUGACCAUGAGCGAAAGUCAGAGGCUCGAAGACGAUCAGAUACCGUCCUAGUUCUGACCAUAAACGAUGCCAACUGACGAUCCGUGGUGGUAGUUAUUUCAACCUUCCCCACGGGCAGUCCCCGGGAAACCUUUAAGUCUUUGGGUUCCGGGGGAAGUAUGGUUGCAAAGCUGAAACUUAAAGGAAUUGACGGAAGGGCACCACCAGGAGUGGAGCCUGCGGCUUAAUUUGACUCAACACGGGAAAACUCACCCGGCCCGGACACUGUGAGGAUUGACAGAUUGACAGCUCUUUCUUGAUUUGGUGGUUGGUGGUGCAUGGCCGUUCUUAGUUGGUGGAGCGAUUUGUCUGGUUAAUUCCGAUAACGAACGAGACUCUAGCCUGCUAAUUAGUACAGCCGUCUUCUGUGCUCGUGUCAACGGCGUUCGGCGAGGUUGGCCUACUCAGGCCUCCAUGCGGUGGCUGUGUUCGCGUAGGUUUGGGCGGUGUUGCCUCUCGGUGAUGCUGCUUGGGCCUGCCGGGUCGGUCAGUGCUGGMUGGUCAUGGUCUUCUGGUUCGGCGUUUGUUGCCGGGUACGGCGCGGUUUGUUGACUUCUUAGAGGGACAAGCGGGAGAAGCCGCACGAAAUUGAGCAAUAACAGGUCUGUGAUGCCCUUAGAUGUCCGGGGCCGCACGCGCGCUACAAUGACGGUGCCAACGAGUCUGACCUUCUGGCCCGAAAGGGUUGGGUAAACUGGUCAAUCACCGUCAUGACAGGGAUCGGGGCUUGGAAUUGUUCCCCGUGAACGAGGAAUUCCUAGUAAGUGCAAGUCAUAAGCUUGCGCUGAUUACGUCCCUGCCCUUUGUACACACCGCCCGUCGCUACUACCGAUUGAAUGGUUUAGUAAGGUCCUUGGAUUGGUGCCAUUGUGUCGGUUGUCGCAAGAUAGCCGGCCGACAGGCGCUGAGAAGAC
rnacentral:rRNA from 1 species